UCCCUGGUGGCUCAGAGGUUAAAGCAUCUGCCCGCAAUGCAGGAGACCUGGGUUUGAUCCCUGGGUAGGGAA
rnacentral:tRNA from 1 species